UUCUUUUUUCGCUAAACUUGACUACCUGAGUAGUGAGUACCGGAUCCCAACAAAUCAACAACUCUUUAAAUUAUUUCUUAAAUCAAUAUCAAAUUAUCAAUCUAAUCCACUACGAUCUAAGGCACUAGUUACGUAUUAUGUAUAAAUACAAGGAUGAGUUGAUAUUUUACCUACUCUUUAGUCUUUACAUCUCCAAUCAAUGUCUCGUGAAAUGACCAUCUUGUCCCUUCUUCAGUUCUUCCGAAUCCGGUUACGUAGACAAACCCCACACCGGCCACACGGGUGAUACGGUAAAACCAAAGUAGCAUAAGAUAUACCCUCAUAACAAUAUGAUUCCAGCUGUUCAAAUCAAUACGUACAAAUUGAAUCCACGUUAUUAAUUAUUAAUAGUGAGCAAAUCAACAACUCUUUAAAUUACAUCUUAAAUCGAUAUAAAAUUAUCAAUAUAUAUACAGGACUAAGGAAGAGUGCAGUAACAUUUUACCCAAUCUUCAAUGUUUUCAUCUCCCCUCCCUGCAUCAUAUUCAUUUCUUGUCUCGUCAUAAUUUCUCAUGCAAUGACCAUCUCCUCCCUCCUUCCGAAUCCGAUUGUUGUAGCCAAACCCCACACCCCAAACCACCGUCUCACGCUGCAAAAAGACCUGCAACUGCGCAAGCAGUAUGAGGUGGAGAGGAGAGAUCUAGAGGAAGAGAUGGAACGGAGGAGGAGGAGGAGAAAGAAGAAGAAAAAGAAGAAACAGCAAGAGUUACUGCAACGGCAAAAACGACAAGUACUUCCACCUCCAUCUUCAUGGAAACUGUUCAAAAGUCUUCUCACCUGCAGGAGCGUCGCUCCAACUCAAGUUCACGACCCUUCUUAUGUUCCGACAACGUAUGGGAAGUUGGGAUCUUCCUGCAGCGGCAUGUGUUCCAUCA
rnacentral:lncRNA from 1 species